rnacentral:rRNA from 1 species
CCUACGGGAGGCAGCAGUGAGGAAUAUUGGUCAAUGGGCGGAAGCCUGAACCAGCCAAGUAGCGUGCAGGAUGACGGCCCUACGGGUUGUAAACUGCUUUUAUACGGGAAUAACGCGCCUUACGUGUAGGGCUUUGCAUGUACCGUAUGAAUAAGGAUCGGCUAAUUCCGUGCCAGCAGCCGCGGUAAUACGGAAGGUACGGGCGGUAUCCGGAUUUAUUGGGUUUAAAGGGAGCGUAGGCCGCAUGUCAAGUGGGGUGUGAAAUUUCCGGGCCCAACCCGGGCCUUGCAGCGCAAACUGGAGUGCUUGAGUGCGCGGGAAGCAGGCGGAAUGCGUGGUGUAGCGGUGAAAUGCAUAGAUAUGACGAAGAACCCCGAUUGCGAAGGCAGCAUGCUGCAGCGGAACUGACGCUGAUGCUCGAAAGCGCGGGUAUCGAACAGGAUUAGAUACCCCAGUAGUC